rnacentral:rRNA from 1 species
AAUAUUGCACAAUGGGCGCAAGCCUGAUGCAGCCAUGCCGCGUGUAUGAAGAAGGCCUUCGGGUUGUAAAGUACUUUCAGCAGUGAGGAAGGUGGGUAUGUUAAUAGCAUACUCAUUUGACGUUAGCUGCAGAAGAAGCACCGGCUAACUCCGUGCCAGCAGCCGCGGUAAUACGGAGGGUGCGAGCGUUAAUCGGAAUUACUGGGCGUAAAGCGCAUGCAGGUGGUUUGUUAAGUCAGAUGUGAAAGCCCGGGGCUCAACCUCGGAAUUGCAUUUGAAACUGGACAAACUAGAGUACUGUAGAGGGGGUAGAAUUUCAGGUGUAGCGGUGAAAUGCGUAGAGAUCUGAAGGAAUACCGGUGGCGAAGGCGGCCCCCUGGACAGAUACUGACACUCAGAUGCGAAAGCGUGGGGAGCAAACAGGAUUAGAUACCCUGGUAG